rnacentral:lncRNA from 1 species
CAAGUUCUCUCUACUGACUUCAAAGCUGAGUUCCUCCUGAUGUGAUUUCAAAAUACCUAACUAUUGCUUAAGCUUCAGUUUCAGGUUUUGAUAUAAUUUGACCCUUAAAAGGCAAGUUAGAUUGGGUUGAUUCAUAAACAAACAGCAUAAAGAAAGUGAUAAAUGUAUUUCAGAGAUAAAUAUGUUUAAUUAGAAAACAAGCAUGAGUCCCUAUGAUAGGAACCUCACUACUUCCAAAGGAAGGUAAAGCAUAAGUGUAAUUUCUCAUGCUCUAUUGUUUGGGAAAUGAAUUGUGUAUAAAUUGUUCCUAAAAUAGCAUGACAAUUUAUUAACAUACUUUCAGUGACUUCCAGGAGAGUGUUCUAAGAUACAAAGGCCACGUCUGUAUGUAAUCAUAGAAUUUAUCAUUUUAAUGUAGUUUUUUGGUAGGACAUCUUAUCAGGCCAGUUUGGAAUGACAGUGGUAUAAUAAACUAUCUUUUUUUUUUUAAUCUGUUGUUUUGCUCUACAGAAACAAGCAAAAGUGAAAGGAAAAAACAUCACUUAAUUGACUCAGUACAAGUGUGCUUUAAAUAGUCUCUCCAGAACUGGUUCACCUUUUUUGUUGUUGUUUUGUUGUGUUUUUCAAAUCCUUUCCCUCUCUGUCUCUUUUUCCUUUCAAUAAAUGUAAAACAUGAUGUAGAAUGUACAAUUUUAAUGAGGUUUCCAUUUAUAUCAACUCAUUCCUACCCAUUCAUUAUUUAUUUGGCAAUUAAGGGAAUCUGUACUGCUAUUCAGUUUAUUUUGUCAACAAGCAUUUGCUACAAAGCUACUAAUUUUCCUGGGUUCAAAAGAAGUGGAAAUCCUGGCAUAUUCCCAGCAGCCAUAACAUUUAAGAACUCAAAAUGCUUAGUAAAUAAUAUUCUAAGUUAUUUACAUUUUUCUGUGUGUGUGUGGGAGGGUAUGGUUUUUUAGAAAUGCAAUCUCAAGGUGGCAGAAGCAUAGGAGAUGCAUAUAAUAUACCAUCAUUAUAGAACAAAUUUAACAUUGACAUUUUGAUGCAACAUCAUUGUAUUUAAAUAUCCAGUGACUAGUUCUACUAAGUCAAGCUCCAGUCUUCAUUUAGGUAUUAGAGUAAAGAAUAAGCUUUUUCACUCUGCUCUUCAUAAAAGCCUUUUUCAGUUAUGAGUGCAUCUAUAAAAGCCUAAAAUAUAAGAUCUGAUUCAUUUUCAAAACUGUAAAACUUUGUUCAUACAGAUUAAUUUCAUGU